rnacentral:lncRNA from 1 species
CCCCUCAUAUUCCUUCAUUGCCUUCUCAGAGUUCUCCCAUUCGGACUUCAAGCUGGUGGCACCAUCUUUAUGAUGUGCCCGUGCCCACACCCCUAUAAAAGAUAUAGAGGGGUCUAGAAUCGGAGGCGUCGUCAGCUUGCAAGCCAUGUCAACAACAAUGGGGCCUUGUUUAGUUCGAAUUUUUUUUGUUUCGGUGCUGUAGUAUUUUUAUUUUUAUUUGACAAUUAUUGUUCAAUCAUAGACUAAUUAGACUCAAAAGAUUUAUUUCGUGAUUUAUAGAUAAAUUGUGUAAUUAGUUUUUAUUUUCGUCUAUAUUUAGUACUCCAUGUAUGUGCCGUAAGAUUCGAUAUGAUAGAGAAUCUUGAAAAGUUUUUGGUUUUUCUCAAACCUUUUUUUUUCAAAUGGCUCUAUACUAUCCAACGUGACAACAACCCUUUAGCAUUUUCAAAAGCAUUUUUAAAGGUUUUUACUUGCUCCCCCCGACGCCACUAGCUUGAUCUACAUACAACGCAAGUAAGAUCUCAUAUAGUGGCACUAAAUAACUGUUUAGCUCAUAAGAAAGGCCCACUCUAUAAUACUGUAAUGUAUCCUAAACGCAGUCAAAGCACU